AUUGAACGCUGGCGGCAGGCCUAACACAUGCGAGUCGAGCGGAUGAAGGGAGCUUGCUCCUGGAUUCAGCGGCGGACGGGUGAGUAAUGCCUAGGAAUCUGCCUGGUAGUGGGGGAUAACGUCCGGAAACGGGCGCUAAUACCGCAUACGUCCUGAGGGAGAAAGUGGGGGAUCUUCGGACCUCACGCUAUCAGAUGAGCCUAGGUCGGAUUAGCUAGUUGGUGGGGUAAAGGCCUACCAAGGCGACGAUCCGUAACUGGUCUGAGAGGAUGAUCAGUCACACUGGAACUGAGACACGGUCCAGACUCCUACGGGAGGCAGCAGUGGGGAAUAUUGGACAAUGGGCGAAAGCCUGAUCCAGCCAUGCCGCGUGGGUGAAGAAGGUCUUCGGAUUGUAAAGCACUUUAAGUUGGGAGGAAGGGCAGUAAGUUAAUACCUUGCUGUUUUGACGUUACCAACAGAAUAAGCACCGGCUAACUUCGU
rnacentral:rRNA from 1 species